GUUUGAUUCUGGCUCAGAACGAACGCUGGCGGCGUGGAUAAGACAUGCAAGUCGAACGCUGAUUGCUGAAUAGCGAUAUUCUGCAGUCGGAGUGGCGCAAGGGUGCUUAACACGUGGGUAAUUUGCCAUGAAGCUGUGGAUAACUCCGAGAAAUCGGAGCUAAUACGGAAUGUGAUCAUUUGGGGACAUCCUCAAAUGGUUAAAGUUGGGGACUGCAAAGCCUGACACUUCAUGAUAAGCCCGCGGCCUAUCAGCUAGUUGGCGGGGUAACGGCCCACCAAGGCUAAGACGGGUAGCUGGUCUGAGAGGACGACCAGCCACACUGGAACUGAGACACGGUCCAGACACCUACGGGUGGCAGCAGUCGAGAAUUUUUCACAAUGGGCGCAAGCCUGAUGGAGCGACGCCGCGUGGGGGAUGAAUGGCUUCGGCCCGUAAACCCCUGUCAUUCGCGAGCAAAGCCACUUCGAUAAUACCGGAAUGGCUGAUCGUAGCGAAAGAGGAAGGGACGGCUAACUCUGUGCCAGCAGCCGCGGUAAUACAGAGGUCCCAAGCGUUGUUCGGAUUCACUGGGCGUAAAGGGUGCGUAGGUGGCAAGGUAAGUUCGGUGUGAAAUCUCUGGGCUUAACCCAGAAAUGGCAUUGGAUACUCUCUUGCUCGAGGUUUGGAGGGGGGACUGGAAUUCUCGGUGUAGCAGUGAAAUGCGUAGAUAUCGAGAGGAACACCCGUGGCGAAGGCGAGUCCCUGGACAACACCUGACACUGAGGCACGAAAGCUAGGGGAGCAAACAGGAUUAGAUACCCUGGUAGUCCUAGCCCUAAACGGUGCACAUUUGCUGUGGGCGGAUUCGACCCCGCCUGUGGCGGAGCUAACGCAAUAAAUGUGCCGCCUGGGAAGUACGGUCGCAAGAUUAAAACUCAAAGAAAUUGACGGGGGCCUGCACAAGCGGUGGAGUAUGUGGCUCAAUUCGAUCCAACGCGAAGAACCUUACCUGGCCUUGACAUGUGGGUGGUAGAAGGAUGAAAGUCUAACGAACCCGUAAGGGAAGCCUACACAGGUGCUGCAUGGCUGUCGUCAGCUCGUGUCGUGAGAUGUUGGGUUAAGUCCCGCAACGAGCGCAACCCUUGUGUCCUGUUGCUACCGGGGCGAAAGUCCCGGGCACUCUGGACAGACUGCCUCGCUUCAACGGGGAGGAAGGUGGGGAUGACGUCAAGUCAGUAUGGCCCUUACGGCCAGGGCUGCACACGUACUACAAUGCCCGGUACAAAGGGAUGCAAGAUCGUAAGAUGGAGCAAAUCCAGUAAAACCGGGCUCAGUUCAGAUUGUCGUCUGCAACUCGACGGCAUGAAGCUGGAAUCGCUAGUAAUGGCGCAUCAGCUACGGCGCCGUGAAUACGUUCCCAGGCCUUGUACACACCGCCCGUCACAUCAUGAAGCCGUUUGUACCCGAAGUCAUUAUGCCGACCGCAGGGAGGCCGAUGCCGAAGGUAUGGACGGUGAUUGGGAUGAAGUCGAACAAGGUA
rnacentral:rRNA from 1 species